UCCCGCUUCGUGAGUGUUUCUUCGUUUCUUUAAGAGCUACCAGAAAGCAGUCCACCCCCCACCCCCAUAAAAAAAAAAAUAAGCGAGUGGGGACGAGCCAGCCCCACGCCGGUCCGCCUCCCGCCCGCGGUCAGGCCUCCCGCCCGCUCGCCGCCUGGCUCGGCGCUCCAUCGCCCCGAGUUCUCCUGCCCCUGGAUCCCGGGCUCGCGGGGGCGCGGAGAAGAGGACCCAGGAAAGAUGAGAAAAUGGAGCCUCUUGAGUAAUUUCCCUGAAAUCACAGAGUUUUGGAGCUGCUGGAUGCUUAAACCAGGUCUCGUGACAUCUUUAUGAGAAAACAAAACUAAACUAAACGGAACUAAACAACAAUGAAGCUUUCAUGUUUUAGGAAUCCCAGGUGGAGUAGAGACAGCUGUUAGCAUCCUGACCCCUCUACAAAUGGUGAGGACGAUACUUGUAUAGGGUCAGGCGGGCUUCCGAAUCAAACCCACAUUGAAAUCUCAGUUCUGCCAUAUCCUAGCAGUGACCUCGUUUGAACUUCAGUUUAAGAAAACGUGCUGAACUUCAGUUUGCCUCGUCUGUGAAAUGGGCAUAAAAAUAAGCCCUCCUCGAUAAGGUUAUUGUGCAGAUUGCUUGAACUUGGACAGGCCAGUGUCUGGCGUGUUCGUCAAAGGAAGGCAGUGGAAUUGAAAUGCAUCUCCUUGUCCCUCCUCCUCUGCCCACCUUCCCGUAUGCACUACAUGGAUUCCAGGCCUUUUCCAUACCCAGGACGGCCCCAAGCCCUAGCAGUGAAUCUGAUCCUUCAUCUAAUCAUGGCAUUGAUGUUUUUUAUUCCAUUGAAGGCAUCAAUAUUUGUUCAAUAGCAUAAGUCUUAAAUAAGCAUCUAAACGACAUGUUACAGAUGAUGAAAGUCAUUUCCGCGCAGAAGAUUAUCUCACACAAUCAUGCUCCCAUCGUUAUCUGGGGCCUCUACAGUUGGCAAACCUCCACGGCUACUUAAAUGAUAACAUUAGUCCUAAUACCGUGCAAAAUGACUGGUUCCUCGGGGUAGGUUUAGUUUUAAUAGUGUAUGUCAGCAGCAAAUAGCUCGGAAGACCCCAGAGGAAAAAGCACAGCUCAUGCUCUCACUGAAGCGAUGAUAUGGAUAUAUUUAAUAUCUGUAUUAAAACCCUUUUAGGCGCCAUGGUGAUAUUGAACUGGAUAGUUAGACAUGUGCAGGCAAAGCCCUUGGCUGUUUAUAGGGCACGACGCAGUGUGCAUUACAGAAACCUUUUGAGGUUGUUCAAAGUCGAAUUUGGGCUUCAAAAAUCUUUGACAGACAUUUGACCCCAGUUGUAAAAUGCUCUGAAACAAUCUGGGAGAAUGAAAUCGCCUCCUUUUUAUUUCUUUGGUUUCUUGGUACUGAUAAGUUUGCUGCACUGUUAAAAUGUCUAAUCACUUGCCUCCAGCAGCAGCAAGCUUCCAUCAGAAGUUGCAAUUUAUUAGGGCACCCAGCACAUACUUGCUGUUUAUGCAGAAGAUGGCCAGGGAUCCUCAGAGGGAAAGCAAACCACAAUUUGGAAUCCAGCAUAGAGUCAUGGAUGAAGGGAUGGAAAACGAAAGUUACUUGGGAGUCGAUGUCAGGGGAGAUCAUGGAAAAGCUACACCGAUUUUCUACUCCAAAUGCUCAGGGUGAAAUCAUAGAGUCCAGCCUGGACCGAGAGGGGUGUCUGACCUGCACCAGGGAGGGGAGAAGGGGCUGCGGGGGACAAAGACGCUUGCUAGGGAUAUACACCUUCCAAGAAAGGGCAGUCCUCUCUGCUUCAGGGUGUGGUCAGAGAAGACCAUAGGAAGAGCAAUGAACAGAUGCAAAUUUUAGCAGAUGGCUACUCUCAAUGUCCAUGCCCAUUGGCCCUCGUAGGUGUGGACCUCACUUCAGCCUUUGUACCUUAACCAAGGGCAAACUGAGUUCUGUAGCAGGGGACCGUCUCUGAGACAGCGAGGCCAUUGGACUAUGGCAACUGCAGGCAUCUUGGGAUGGCCUCAUUGGCACAAUACCACAGACCUCGCCCUUGGAGAAAGGGUCGUGGAGGCCCCUUGGAUGACCACAAAGAGUUACCUCCUUCUGGUAACCAGUCACCCAGGAUGGUGCCUGGGAGGGCACCUGGAGAUACUGAGCCAAAUUGGGACUGUCAGGUCACUAUUCUCUAAGAAUGGACGUAUAAAGAUAUAGGGGAUUCCCUACAUAUCAUCCUGGGUCCUUGGCUGGACAAAUAGCUCAAGUUCCUUUAACAUUUUUGAUAACUGUAUUUCAAACCGGGUUAUAAGGAAUAACAGGUCUUCCGGCAGAAAAGGGUGCUAUAGCUGUCAAUUUGGGAAAUGUACACCUUGAAGAGUCACAGUGACAUAUUAAUGGCUCUGAUAUGUGCUGAAAGGAGAAACUAGCCAACAAAAGUGGUUUCACUCUGUUUACCCUGGCGUUUCCACCAGUGGUUUGGCUAUGAAUUCCUUUCUUCACAGGAAGUCUACCAUCAUUGAACCCCUGUGAUACUCAAUUUAAGAAUCACUGUGUGGUAGCAGAAUUCUAAAAAUGCUCCCCCCUUUCCAAGACCCUCUCCUGAUCAUUCAGUUCAACCCAAGUAUGGCUACUGCAGUAAAGAGAUUUUGCAGACGUAAUUAAAGUUAAGCAAACUGACCCUACGAUACAGAUUAUCCAGGUGGGCCUGACCCAAUCAGUUGAGCCCUUGAUUGAAAGGAUGAGAAGGAGGGGAAGUGCCCUCACCGCAUUUGGAGGUGGAAGGGGCCCCCUGAGAAGGAACGUGAGCAGCCUGGAGAAGCAGAGAGCAACCCCGGCUGACAGCCAGCAAAGAAAUGGGGGUGCCAUAUCUGCAGACACAAGGGAUGGGAUCGUGCCAACAAACAACCUGAAGGAACCUGACAGCACAUUCUGCCCAGAGCCCCCAGAUGAGGAGAACGCGGUGGCCAGUACCUUGAUUUUGGCCUUGGCAGAUUCUGUGAGAGGACCAGGUGAGCCCGCCCACGUCUGACUCACAGACCGGUGAGAUAAUAAAUGGGCGUUGUUUUAAACCACUAAAUUUGUGAUAAUCCGUUAUGCAGCCAUAAAACACGAAUACGUGCUCAUUCAGAGAAAUGAAAGCAGGGUUAAUUGUGGUACACUCUUCCCGCCUCCGUUACAUUUAUAAGGUGUUUUACAGGUAACAAAACACUUCCAUCUAUCGAUGCAUACCAGCAAUGCUCAGAUGCGGCCGGACAGGUGUUUCCAUUUCUACAGGUGAGGAAUAGACUCGGGAAGGUGGAAGGACUUGCCCAAGACACAAGGCUGCUCAGAUGGGGCUCUUUUUGUGACGUGUGUGUGUGUAUGUGUGUGUG